GUAAGUAUAGUUUAAUUAAAACAUUAGAUUGUGAUUCUUAAAAUAGGGGUUAAAACCCCCUUACUCACCAAGGAAGUUA
rnacentral:tRNA from 1 species